rnacentral:tRNA from 1 species
ACCUGGCUGGCUCAGUUGGUGGAGCACGUGACUCUUGAUCUCAGGGUUGUGAGUUUGAGCCCCGUGUUGGGUG